GGAAGAUGACUGAGGCUCACACCUCAUUUGCUUCUCUGACCACUGCUGCUCACUGAACAGCUGUCUCCAGUGAUCUGUCCAUGAUGAUACAGCCAGUGCUACUUUAAUUUUGCUUGCAAAUAGGCAGCAACAGAUGGCACAAAGCAGAAAAUCUUGCCUAUUUGAGUAGUCCG
rnacentral:lncRNA from 1 species